rnacentral:tRNA from 1 species
GAGGGUAUAGCUCAAGUGGUAGAGCACAUGCAUUACCAUGCAUGAGGUCCUGGGUUUAAUCCCCAGUACCUCCU